GAUCAUUACACAAAUAUGAAGGCGGGCUGGAACCUCUCGGGGUUACAGCCUUGCUGAAUUAUUCACCCUUGUCUUUUGCGUACUUCUUGUUUCCUUGGUGGGUUCGCCCACCACUAGGACAAACAUAAACCUUUUGUAAUUGCAAUCAGCGUCAGUAACAAAUUAAUAAUUACAACUUUCAACAACGGAUCUCUUGGUUCUGGCAUCGAUGAAGAACGCAGCGAAAUGCGAUAAGUAGUGUGAAUUGCAGAAUUCAGUGAAUCAUCGAAUCUUUGAACGCACAUUGCGCCCUUUGGUAUUCCAAAGGGCAUGCCUGUUCGAGCGUCAUUUGUACCCUCAAGCUUUGCUUGGUGUUGGGCGUCUUGUCUCUAGCUUUGCUGGAGACUCGCCUUAAAGUAAUUGGCAGCCGGCCUACUGGUUUCGGAGCGCAGCACAAGUCGCACUCUCUAUCAGCAAAGGUCUAGCAUCCAUUAAGCCUUUUUUUCAACUUUUGACCUCGGAUCAGGUAGGGAUACCCGCUGAACUUAAGCAUAUCAAUAAGCGGAGGAAAAGAAACCAACAGGGAUUGCCCUAGUAACGGCGAGUGAAGCGGCAACAGCUCAAAUUUGAAAUCUGGCUCUUUUAGAGUCCGAGUUGUAAUUUGCAGAGGGCGCUUUGGCUUUGGCAGCGGUCCAAGUUCCUUGGAACAGGACGUCACAGAGGGUGAGAAUCCCGUACGUGGUCGCUGGCUAUUGCCGUGUAAAGCCCCUUCGACGAGUCGAGUUGUUUGGGAAUGCAGCUCUAAAUGGGAGGUACAUUUCUUCUAAAGCUAAAUAUUGGCCAGAGACCGAUAGCGCACAAGUAGAGUGAUCGAAAGAUGAAAAGCACUUUGGAAAGAGAGUCAAACAGCACGUGAAAUUGUUGAAAGGGAAGCGCUUGCAGCCAGACUUGCUUACAGUUGCUCAUCCGGGUUUCUACCCGGUGCACUCUUCUGUAGGCAGGCCAGCAUCAGUUUGGGCGGUAGGAUAAAGGUCUCUGUCACGUACCUCCUUUCGGGGAGGCCUUAUAGGGGAGACGACAUACUACCAGCCUGGACUGA
rnacentral:misc_RNA from 1 species